CGGGGUGAGUAAUGUAUGGGGAUCUGCCUGAUGGCGGGGGGAGUAAUACUGGAAACGGUAGCUAAUACCGCAUAAUGUCUGCGGACCAAAGCGGGGGGACCUCCGGGCCUCGCGCCAUCAGAUGAACCCAUAUGGGAUUAGCUUGUAGGUAAGGUAACGGCUUACCUAGGCGACGAUCCCUAGCUGGUCUGAGAGGAUGAUCAGCCACACUGGGACUGAGACACGGCCCAG
rnacentral:rRNA from 1 species